GAUGAAGAACGUAGCGAACUGCGAUAAGUAAUGUGAAUUGCAGAAUUCAGUGAAUCAUCGAGUCUUUGAACGCACAUUGCGCCCCCUGGCAUUCCGGGGGGCAUGCCUGUCCGAGCGUCAUUGCUGCCCUUCAAGCCCGGCUUGUGUGUUGGGUCGUCGUCCCCCCCGGGGGACGGGCCCGAAAGGCAGCGGCGGCACCGCGUCCGGUCCUCGAGCGUAUGGGGCUUUGUCACCCGCUCGAUUAGGGCCGGCCGGGCGCCAGCCGGCGUCUCCAACCUUCUAUUUUACCAGGUUGACCUCGGAUCAGGUAGGGAUACCCGCUGAACUUAAGCACAUCAAUAAGCGGAGGA
rnacentral:misc_RNA from 1 species